AAGAGAAAUUCCUGUUUAUUAAUAAUGAAACUUCUUCUUUUCAAAAAAAAAAAAAAAAAAUCUCCCGUUCUCUAUUUUAUUUUUUCAUCUCCCGCUCUCUAUUUAUUUAUUUUUCUGCUUUCUUCCUGAGAGAAGAUGGAUUUGGUUAUGGUGUACGAUUCACUUGGAGAUUCAUACAUUAUCCCAGAAGAUAAGAUAGUCAAAGGUUUAGAUUUUAGUAAAUUUGCUGAUUGCCGUCACAAGUUUGAUGAAGAGGAGACGAUGAAAAACAUAGAUGUCGAUCUAUUCUUCGAAUGUAGUCGGUUAUUUGAGGAAGCAUACUCAAAGAGGGAAGCACUUGCAGGAAAGACGGGAGACAAGGAAUCUAUAGCAGAAGAGAAGAAACGUAAGUCGGCUGAUGAGAAGAAUUUACCAAAUAAAGAGACUUCUACAACUGAUACGAAGAAGAUUAAGAUGAAGGAAUGAAUGCAAUGGAAAGAAGCUUAUUUUAUCUAGGGUUUAUAAUUCCUUUAAAGAGAAAGUAGAUCUAUUGUGAUGCUGCUUAAUUUCCUUAACUCUGAUAUUUAAUUUCUGUAAUUUCCUUUUAACUCUGAUGUGAAUGAACGUCCUUAUAAAUUUCUAAUUCUUGUCUCAAUGUGUAAUUUCUAGUAAGUUUUUUUCGAGGAAUCGUCUCCAAAAUCCAAACUUUUAGGUUUUGCUUUGCAUACAUACUACUUUCCAUUCAACCUAGUGCGUCAAUUCACAGGACUCAAUUCUUUGUUACGCAAUCGUUAGCAGUUGAUGGACACCCUAUUUUUUUUUUUUUUGAAGCAUAAUUCUUUUGUUGUUGUUGUCUUGUAUAGUCAGAGAUAGGAGAAAAAUUGAUUCCGUAUGAUUGCUACGGUAUCCAGAAUUUAAAUUGGUUGUCGCAUGAUGCAGGUUACAGAUUCUAGGAAGUUUAUUAGUGGUGAGUUAAUGUAUCCACUGAAGGAAACAUUUCUACCGUGAAGGAAAUGAAUUCUUACUUCAUUUCAAACCCUUAAUCAAAUUCCAGACUGCUUCUGAUUUUCUAAAGUUACAGUUGAUGGUCUCAUAAGCGUAUUCCACUCAGUCCAUAUACGUACAAGGAAUACCAAGUUCAGCUAUUUUCCACAGUACAUUCAUCUAGAGUGCACAAAUUGUAAGAGUUGCAACAAUCAUCUCAUAAUUUGGUCAUUAAGUAUGUAGAAAUCAGUAUAUAUGCACACAAAAAAGCGAUGAAGGUGAGCCAUUAAGUACUGCUGUUGGCAUUUAAAUCAUAAUCAUUUCAUGAUGUCCGUCCGUGUUUUAUCAAUUUUCCCAGAGAACCCAACUAUCAAUUCAUAUUCGCCAUAUCGGUUUUUGUGUUUGUCGAUUUCCUGUCCGUGCCAUUUCUAAAUGUCGCCUAAGAUAAUACCAUUAUUGCAUGUCUCACAUGGAUAUAGAUGAUCAACUAUAUGUGGUUGUGUUUGAUGGUUGAUGCAGACGUAGUGGGCAUUCUAGCAUCUCUACCAAGUCUGCACUAAAUGAAUCGAGUCAAUAGUCAACAAUGCAUGAUGCGUGACUUUCCAGAACCUCAGGUUUCACUAAAUUAAAAGCUCCAUGUAAUCCAUAUUGGAUUGUUGGUUAUUAUUAACAGGACGUUUCUGCUUUCUUGACUCAGAGUUGUCCUCACAAGGUAGAAUACUAGCCUUAGAUGUUACAAAAAUUCAGGGAAAGGGUAAGAAUGCAUUUGACAAGACAUCCAUUAAUUUUGAUUCAGGUAUUUAGUUGUUAAACAUCUCUAUAUAUCCCAUUACACAUUUAAGUGCAAUUUCCUCUUUUAUAAAAUCCCAAAGUUGCUUUAAUUGCGGUGUUAUAGGUCUGUCGUAAUGGAUAUGUUUCUUUCUUUUUCAUGAUUCUUAGUAGACAAAAGAAUGCAAUUGAAGAGCAUGUGGUUUCACAUAUCGGUAAACCCAUCUUCCUGGCUUAUAAAUUUCUUUUGCAAGAAGUAUACUUAGCACUUGAGAUUAUAACAAAACCCACCCAUACAUGUUAAAAUGCUCUUAGUCUUGCAUUUAAGGAUCAAGGCAUCAGUAUUGGCUCUUUGUGGUUGUUAACUAUGAACCAGUGAUGAUUGAUGAUAAAGCGGCUUUUUGUGUUUAGCGAUAUGGAGUUCAACCAAGCUUCAGGGAAGAGUAACCAUAGUUACUACGGUGGUUACUACGGCUACGGUCAGUCGAGGUUGGCUCCAGUUACAACAUGGGAGACGGACUACCAGGUGAUACAGGAUAAGUACAGGAAGAGUGGAUACAUGAAAGUUCCUGAGAUUGUGUUUUGGAACCUUCGAGACUCUAGCUCAACUCCAGUGUUGGGUCAGCAAAAGGGCGUGGCUUUGGUUAGCGGGUUCUCGAAGAAUUUGUUGAAACUUUUCCUUGAAGGUUCGGAUUUAAGUGAAUUUACACCAAUUAGAGUGAUGGAGAAGGCAAUCGCUGGUGAGGGAUACAACAAACUUGUUGUAGUCGACUGAUUGAUUCUUUAUCCUCAGUUCAAGAACCUGACAAGCAUGUCAAUGAUGCAAACUGUGCGCUGAGCGCUAUUUAUUGAAUUUUUCUUAUGUUUUUCUUUUUUAGAUUUUUUAGAUUUAACUUAUACUGACUCGGGCUACAUAUGCUUAACAAUUGAGUGACAGUCUAAUAAUAUACUAGUUUUUUAUUUUUAUGCAA